rnacentral:rRNA from 1 species
AAGGGCACCACAAGAACGCGUGNAGNNGUGGCUUAAUUUGACUCAACGCGGGAAAUCUUACCGGGNCCGGACACACUGAGGAUUGACAGGUGUUUUGCAAUUAAAAAAAAAAAAGAAAAAUUUAUUUUUCUUUCGAUUUUUUGUUGCUUCNAAAUAUGCUAGNCCUUUCANGAUUGNGUGANAGGUGGUGCAUGGCCGUUCUUAGUUCGGGGAGNGAUCUGUCNGCUUAAUUGCGUUUCAUGAUUGGACUUUACAGUAAUGGUAUCGCUUAAGAAGCUUGAUUGUAUUGACAUUUUUUUUUGCACCGUUUUAUCUGAAUUAAAAAAAUUUUUUUUUUAAAAUCAUUCUUUUAGUUCAAUACUAACAGCAAUCUUAAUUUGUUUUACCAAUCAAUGUCUUUUUUGUGAUAUCAUGUUAAGGUCCUGAAGGCAACGAACGUGACCGCAACCUCUUGUUACCUCCCCUUUUUUUUUAAAUUUUUUUAAAGAAAAACAGAUAGAAAAAUAUUUAAAAAUUAUAUUAGAGAGAAGUGGGACUACGGUUUCAUUUUUUUUUAAUGUAACUUUUUAUUUCAUUUUUUUUAUUCUGCAUGGRGGAAAACUAGAGGGACCGCUGCGAAAAAUUUAAACCAGAGGAAGGRUGCGGCAAUAACAGGUCUGUGAUGCCCUUAGAUGUUCCSGGCUKCACACRUGCYACAAUGAUUAUUGCAGUCNGCAUCUUACAAAGUUCGUGUGCAUCGAUCAUUUUUUUUUGAUCNCUAUGCAUAUUUUUCCUUUUUUUUUUUUCUAAAAAAGAAAAGGAACGACUAGCCUGCUUCGAAAGUAAGUAGGUAAUCAAUUCGAAGUAAUGAUUUCCCUUGCACAUUCAAAUGUUCUUUUUGAAAUUUAUUUCGGUUAAUAGAUUCGUCUAUUAGUCGAAUAUUUUUCAAUAAGACAUGUGCUUAUUCAAUUCAUGGUGGGGACAGACCAUUGAUAAUUGUUGGUCUCGGUCUUAACUAGGAAUGCCUUGUACGGGUCUUUGGUUCAACAGNCCACCCGGAAUNCNUCCCUGCCCUUUGUACACNCCGCCCGUCGCUCUUNNCGAUGGACUUCUCUGUGNGUUUAAGGGACUUGAAAUUUNUUUCUAUGGANNCGUANACGAACAGUGUGGNCUAAAGGAAAGAGAAGNCGUAACAANGCAUCGGNAGGUGANNCNG